GCUGUGGUUUAAAGCACUUCGUUCGAGUCGAAGUCGCCCUGCAGUUUUGCCGAUGAAGUUUAACUGAGGCAAACCGGCUAUGCCAUGCAAGUUGGCUUGGCCUGUAUGUUUAGCUAUCGCGAUACUAGCCUGUUCUUUUUAAAAUCACCGUGAAGCGAAAUUUUGAACGACUGCAAAGUCGAAAUCACUGGCCUAGAGUUAUUAAUUGAAAGCUUAGAUCCACUGAAAGAACCCUAAUGAGAUUUUGUCCUUUGUUUUGGGCGAGUAAAGUACAGUGAGCCGACAAUGAGUAUAAAAACGACUUGAUCCCAGGACAGCAAAUCACUGGGACGUGCAAGUGAGCAGCCCACCUAGAGAAAUCGGAAAAGGUCAUCGACAGACCCAGAUCAUUACAAGAUGGGUUAUCUACUAAAGCUGGCUGCAAUUUUCAUUCUAUUCUUCUUUGUCAACAGUGACGGUCGUGCCGUUGGGGAUGAUGAGAUCUUGAUUUCGCUGCAGACAAGGGGGGAGCUCCGUGCAAAUGUGCUUACAAUCCUGCGCACGGCACUGGAGGCUACCAGCAGGGAAUAUACUGGUUAAUAAGAUGCCCUAGCGGAUGGACCAAAUGCAAAUAGGGGAUUAUUGGCGAAUGCUGCUUAAAAAAACUAGUAUCUUGAAGAUACAUUUUAAGUAAUAUGUGAAAGGGUUAGGCAACCUGUGUUAAACAUGGAAAAAUGAUUUGCCAAAACAAGAAAUCAUAGCCAAAUAUAUACAGAAUAUAAGAUUUUGUUUAUAGGUUAGAUUAUUAUGACUGAUAUCGCUUUUUCAGAUAAAUUUUUGUGGGGAACCUUGUAAAUGUAACUAACAGCUAAUGUUCCUGCUUCUUCUGAUUUGUUUAACGCAGGAAAUCACCUGUACGCAAUGUUUUACAAUCUUAUGUUUAUAACAAACUAAGAUCCUAUAAUGUGGGAAAGCUAUGAUAAAGCUUUUUGCCCCAGGACAAUGGGACUUACAAUCUUAUGUUUAUUACAAACUAAGAUCCUAUAAUGUGGGAAAGCUAUGAUUAAGCUUUUUGCCCCAGGACAAUGAGACUUUGUCUAGCUCUUGCAUGGAUGAUUACUCAAGUGUAAGUCGAAAUAAAAUUUUAGAUAAAAAACA